GGAGAACGUGCCCUUAAGUGGAGGAUAAUCUCGGGAAAUUGAGGAUAAUACUCCAUAGAUCAUGGGAUCUGGAAUGACCCAUGGUUGAAAGUUCCGGCGCUUAAGGAUCGCUCUGCGGCUUAUCAGGUUGUAGUGGGUGUAACGUACCCCCUAGCCAGUGACGAGUAUGGGCCUUGAGAGAGGGAGCCCAGAGUUGGAUUCUGAGACACGAAUCCAGGCCCUACGGGGCGCAGCAGUCGCGAAAACUUCACACUGGGGGCAACCCCGAUGAGGGAAUUCCUAGUGCUAGGACAUUUGUUCUAGCUUUUCUCUAGCGUAGAUAACUAGAGGAAUAAGGGCUGGGUAAGACGGGUGCCAGCCGCCGCGGUAAUACCUGCAGCCCAAGUGGUGGUCGAUUUUAUUGAGUCUAAAGCGUUCGUAGCCGGUUUGAUAAAUCCUUGGGUAAAUCGGGAAGCUUAAUUUUCCGACUUCCGAGGAGACUGUCAAACUUGGGACCGGGAGAGGCUAGAGGUACUUCUGGGGUAGGGGUAAAAUCCUGUAAUCCUAGAAGGACCACCGGUGGCGAAGGCGUCUAGCUAGAACGGAUCCGACGGUGAGGGACGAAGCCCUGGGUCGCAAACGGGAUUAGAUACCCCGGUAGUCCAGGGUGUAAACGCUGCCGACUUGGUGUUGGAGGCCCUUCGGGGGCAUUCAGUGCCGGAGAGAAGUUGUUAAGUCGGCCACUUGGGGAGUACGUCCGCAAGGAUGAAACUUAA
rnacentral:rRNA from 1 species